AAGCACUAAGAUUUGUUGAUUUCUUACAAAAGUCUAUCAAAUAAGUUAUACAAACUGUAUGUAGCACUAUGCCUGUGUUUUAGAACUUUCUGUGAGCACAAUGUUAUUUUUCCUUACAAAAUAAAAGUCCUUUUUGCAAUGCACUGCAGAUGGCAAUUCCCUUUAGUUCAACUGUGUGAUAUUGACACAACUGAUGCCGCUUGUAUUGAUAACCUGUGUGGUUCUCAGCUAGAGAGUACACCAAGAACAUAUA